rnacentral:rRNA from 1 species
GCGCGCNGGUGUCACGCAUCAGACCGC